AGUACACAGAUGCGCCAAUCACAUUAUCAUUUUCUAUAUUCAGUGGACCGUGAAAUUGGGGUCAAAACUCUAAUUUGGCAUUAAAAUUAGAAAGAUCAUAUCAUAAGGGACAUGCCUACUAAGUUUCAAGUUGAUAGGACUUAAACUUCAUUAAAAGCUACUGUGACUAAAAACUUUAACCUGAAGCGGGACAGAAGAACGAACGAACAGACGCACAGACCAGAAAUUAUAAUGCUCAUAAAUGGGGCAUAAAAACAAAUAAUAUGUUAGAAUUAAACAACUUAACAUUAUUUAUUAAGUAGUUUAGUCAAGUUUUAAUCCAUUCCUAUGUAAAAUAAAGGGGAUAUGUCUGUUGACAAAGUUUUUUGUGACAAACCGACAGAGGGACAUGACUAAUCUGUCUACCAAUACAAUUGUGGAGGAAACAAUUUGAGGUGAACUUAUUGAUCACAACAUAUAAGUUCAUGGAUAAAAAUAAAAUGCAUAUCAUAAUACAACCUUCAUAUAUACAUCAAAACAUAUAUCUACAUAAUGAUCAAUAAUUGCAUCAUCUUUUAUGUAUGAUUAUGCUGGUGGUUAAUACUUGAUUAAAAUAAUGUUUUAUUUAUGGUUUUAACAAUCAAAUACACCCAUAAAACUGUAAUAAGACAAAAGUCAUGAGAUUGCAGGUUAAUUACAUGACUAUUGUAUUUCCUGCAUGGCCAAUUAUGUAAAGACAGAUUACAACUUUAAAAAGUGUGCCAUUGUAAAACUGUAAACACUUCGUUUACCGGUAUAUUAG
rnacentral:lncRNA from 1 species